CCCACCCUAAUUCUUUUUCAAUUUUUACUUCGAUAGAGAUACAGCUGCCCUCCAUCUCUGAUUCCCUUCCCACUUCCAGUCUACGCCUCUCUCCCCCACUUCACUGACGAGUGCCGAGACUGCCGGCAGCCCAGUCGAAGACAACCCUUCCCUCUCCCCAGUAGGCGCCGGCGGCAUCUCCUUUUCUCUACUCUUCCCUCUCCCCAGUCGGCGACAUCUCCUUUUCUCUCCCCAGUCGGCGACAUCUCUUUUCCUCUCCCCAGUCAACGACAUCUCUUUUCCUCUCCCAAGUCGGCGACAACUCGUUUCCCUCUUUCCCCAGUUGGCGUUUCUUUAUUUCGUGGAAUAGGUUAUUCUAGUAAUCAUCGGUUGAUUUUUAUAAUCAAGAUUUGACUGGAACUCUCCUCAGGUUUGUAAUCAGAUUUUGAUAAUCAAUAAUUUUUACACAUUUCUCAGCUUCCAUAUAAGCCUUCUGUUCCUUUGGGAUUCCAUUUCCACAAGCUCUCGCUGCUUUCGUUCUAUCUCGCAGGAAUGACUGACGGUCAUCUCUUCAACAAUAUCUCUCUCGGAGGCCGUGGAGGCACGGUAAACUCUCUAUCUUUCUCUCUUUUCUCAACUAACCAAUAUCAUUGCUCUGUGCUUUUCGAUGUUCGAAAGUAGUUCAAUUUUGGAAUCUUAUUUUACUCAAAACAUGAUUAUUACUUGUUUGUAGAAAUUAAUUUGGUUUUCGUUGGUUUGGUUGCUAGGAGUUACUAUGGGCAAUCGAUGAAUGAUUAGAAAUUUGUGUUUUGUGCAUUAGGAUUAUGGUAUUUUGAAACUCCGGUUUUCUUUUUUUCUUUUUUUAUUUUUUAUGCUUUGCUUAGGGUUUUUUGAGCGGGUUUUUGUCUGGAAACUUGUAGAGAAUGAUUUAUGAUUUUUUUUUGUCGAAGGUGAUUUAUGAUUGUUGAACAAUGAUUUUUGCUUUUUGAAACCCUAAUUAUUUUCCAUUUGUUGGCUUUUUUUGUGGUUUUUUUCUCCUUGGUUUGGUUGCUAAGUAUUGGUGGGAUAAAUCAUUGAUUUGUAGUUCUUGUUUAUCAUUUUAUGAUUGUAAAAAAAAGAAAGAGGGAGAAAUUAAGAUUGUUGAUCACUAAGAAAAUCUAGAAGUAGUGUGAACUAGCAAUAAUAUGGCUGUCCCUUUGUCUCAUAAACCCUAAUCUAUCUAUGGAAUGUGACGCAAUUUAUCGAUUUUACUUGUCCUGCAACAUUCUCUUAUUUAAUUGUGAUCAACAUAUACUUGUCCAUUUCUGAUUUUCCUUGUCAUACAACAUUUCUUGGGGGGAUUGUGAGGGAACAAGUGACAUUCUGUAAAGUGGUAACUGUGAUAAAAAUAUAUAUUCAAUCACAUAAUUGUCAGUUUUACCUUUUAACAUGUUUAAUUUCCUGAUAAAAUACUUCACUAUGAAUAACACAGUUGAAUAUAAUAUAAGUUUUCUGUUUACACCUACCUUGUCUACUUGUCUUCUUUCAUACUGUAACCUAAUUUAUUGAAUAUGCUGAAUAUUUUCAAUUGAAAUUUGCUCUUUUUUGCUCCUUUCAAUUUCGAAAUUAAAGUACAGNNNNN
rnacentral:lncRNA from 1 species